UGAACUGUACUAACACAUAUA
rnacentral:piRNA from 1 species